AAGGAUCAUUACUGAGUGAGGGCCCUCUGGGUCCAACCUCCCACCCGUGUUUAUUAUACCUUGUUGCUUCGGUGAGCCCGCCUCACGGCCGCCGGGGGGCAUCUGCCCCCGGGCCCGCGCCCACCGAAGACACCUAGAACUCUGUAUGAAGAUUGCAGUCUGAGCAAAAACUAAAUAAGUUAAAACUUUCAACAACGGAUCUCUUGGUUCCG
rnacentral:misc_RNA from 1 species